UGGAAUGGAACGAGAAGUGGAAUGUAAUCAUAUGUAAUGAGAGGAAUCUCGAAAUAGAAGUGGAUGAAAGAAAAGAGAAAGGAAGGGAAGGGAAAAGAAGAAAGUUUUCCGACUGCUGUAAAAUUUCUUUUCAGGGUUUGGAAUGGAACGAGAAGUGGAAUGGAAUCGGAUGUAAUGAGAGGAGUCUCGAAAUAGAAGUGGAUGAACGAAAAGAGAAACACCAUGAAAGGAAGGGA